rnacentral:ribozyme from 1 species
CUCACCCUUUGAUUCCUCCAGCACGAAUUCUCUUCCUCUCAUCCAAUGAGGAGCUUGGCA